UUUUAUGGAGAGUUUGAUCCUGGCUCAGGAUGAACGCUGGCGGCGUGCCUAAUACAUGCAAGUCGAGCGAACGGACGAGAAGCUUGCUUCUCUGAUGUUAGCGGCGGACGGGUGAGUAACACGUGGAUAACCUACCUAUAAGACUGGGAUAACUUCGGGAAACCGGAGCUAAUACCGGAUAAUAUUUUGAACCGCAUGGUUCAAAAGUAAAAGACGGUCUUGCUGUCACUUAUAGAUGGAUCCGCGCUGCAUUAGCUAGUUGGUAAGGUAACGGCUUACCAAGGCAACGAUGCAUAGCCGACCUG
rnacentral:rRNA from 1 species